UACGUAGGGGGCGAGCGUUGUCCGGAAUUAUUGGGCGUAAAGAGCUCGUAGGCGGCUUGGCAAGUCGGAUGUGAAAACUCCAGGCUCAACCUGGAGCCGCCAUUUGAUACUGCUAUGGCUAGAGUCCGGUAGGGGAGUGUGGAAUUCCCGGUGUAGCGGUGAAAUGCGCCGAUAUCGGGAGGAACACCGAUGGCGAAGGCAGCACUCUGGGCCGGCACUGACGCUGAGGAGCGAAAGCGUGGGGAGCGAACAGG
rnacentral:rRNA from 1 species